UACGUAGGGUGCAAGCGUUGUCCGGAAUUAUUGGGCGUAAAGAGCUCGUAGGCGGUCUGUCGCGUCGGCUGUGAAAACUCGGGGCUCAACCCCGAGCCUGCAGUCGAUACGGGCAGACUAGAGUGCUGUAGGGGAGACUGGAAUUCCUGGUGUAGCGGUGAAAUGCGUAGAUAUCGAGAGGAACACCUGCGGCGAAGGCGGGUUGCUGGGCUGACACUGACGCUGAUGCGCGAAAGCCAGGGGAGCGAACGGG
rnacentral:rRNA from 1 species